CAGUAGCCGCGGUAAUACGAAGGGGGCUAGCGUUGCUCGGAAUUACUGGGCGUAAAGGGAGCGUAGGCGGAUCGUUUAGUCAGGGGUGAAAUCCCGGGGCUCAACCUCGGAACUGCCUUUGAUGCUGGCGAUCUUGAGUAUGGGAGAGGUGUGUGGAACUCCGAGUGUAGAGGUGAAAUUCGUAGAUAUUCGGAAGAACACCAGUGGCGAAGGCGACACACUGGCCCAUUACUGACGCUGAGGCUCGAAAGCGUGGGGAGCAAACAGGAUUAGAUACCCCAGUAGUCCCUGUCUCUUAUAC
rnacentral:rRNA from 1 species